UCCGGCACUCGAAUCAACAUAAUCACUGCCGCUUAAACGGAUAGUAGAGGAAAAGAACCAAAAUUACUUCAUCUUAAUGAAGUGAUUUAGUUUCUUAAUCUUACUGUGUAAAAUUUGUGCACCAACCAGUGGCUGUCAGACCACACAAACAUUGUGCGCCUGCAUGCAAAGUAUGAUGAAGCCAAAUGCAGUGUGACCAGUGCUUCAAUACUUUUCAUAGAGAAUGCACCAUGUGUGUCCUCAAUGCUGCUCUAUGAGAGACAUCUGAUAGGACAUCGUUCAUUAAGCUACUGAUCUUAGUAGAUGGAUCGGGAUGCA